CCUACGGGAGGCAGCAGUGAGGAAUAUUGGUCAAUGGACGAGAGUCUGAACCAGCCAAGUAGCGUGAAGGAUGACUGUCCUAUGGGUUGUAAACUUCUUUUAUAUGGGAAUAAAAUGUUCCACGUGUGGGAUUUUGUAUGUACCAUAUGAAUAAGGAUCGGCUAACUCCGUGCCAGCAGCCGCGGUAAUACGGAGGAUCCGAGCGUUAUCCGGAUUUAUUGGGUUUAAAGGGAGCGUAGGUGGAUUGUUAAGUCAGUUGUGAAAGUUUGCGGUUCAACCGUAAAAUUGCAGUUGAAACUGGCAGUCGUGAGUACAGUAGAGGUGGGCGGAAUUCGUGGUGUAGCGGUGAAAUGCUUAGAUAUCACGAAGAACUCCGAUUGCGAAGGCAGCUCACUGGACUGCAACUGACACUGAGGCUCGAAAGUGUGGGUAUCAAACAGGAUUAGAUACCCGAGUAGUC
rnacentral:rRNA from 1 species